UUUCAUUCACAUGUUGCCAGAUUCACCUUUCUAAAAUAUAGCUCUGAUUAUAACAUUACCUCACUCAAACAUAUUCGAGAGCACUCCAAAUUCUUCUAGCCACUGGGACAUCCAAAGUCCUGUACUAAACAGCUUCAAACUACACUUCUUUUCUGUCAUUUCCCUGUUAUCUAAUGGAACUACUUAACAUUCCCCAAAAGUUUUCAAGAGGAGGAAUAUAUAUUUGUUGCACUUAGGAAUCUUUUUGAAGAGUAAAUGUUUAUGGUCACCUAAGUCAAAGUUGCAUCACACACCAGGAUGAGACACUAAAGGCAGCCAUGCUGAUGCCAACAUCUUGGUGUUGUCAUUACAGGUGUGGCAACAACCUGACGCUGUUCACUUUCCCGCCUUCUUAGGGCCAAUUCCU
rnacentral:lncRNA from 1 species